rnacentral:tRNA from 1 species
UGGGGCUCAGUGAUAAGAGUACUUGCCUGGCAUGCAAGAGACCCUGGGUUCCAUCCCCAGCA